rnacentral:rRNA from 1 species
UAGGGAAUCUUCGGCAAUGGGGGCAACCCUGACCGAGCAACGCCGCGUGAGUGAAGAAGGUUUUCGGAUCGUAAAGCUCUGUUGUAAGAGAAGAACGUGUGUGAGAGUGGAAAGUUCACACAGUGACGGUAACUUACCAGAAAGGGACGGCCAACUACGUGCCAGCAGCCGCGGUAAUACGUAGGUCCCGAGCGUUGUCCGGAUUUAUUGGGCGUAAAGCGAGCGCAGGCGGUUUAAUAAGUCUGAAGUUAAAGGCAGUGGCUUAACCAUUGUUCGCUUUGGAAACUGUUAAACUUGAGUGCAGAAGGGGAGAGUGGAAUUCCAUGUGUAGCGGUGAAAUGCGUAGAUAUAUGGAGGAACACCGGUGGCGAAAGCGGCUCUCUGGUCUGUAACUGACGCUGAGGCUCGAAAGCGUGGGGAGCAAACAGG